GAUGAACGCUGGCGGCGUGCCUAAUACAUGCAAGUCGAGCGAACGGACGAGAAGCUUGCUUCUCUGAUGUUAGCGGCGGACGGGUGAGUAACACGUGGAUAACCUACCUAUAAGACUGGGAUAACUUCGGGAAACCGGAGCUAAUACCGGAUAAUAUUUUGAACCGCAUGGUUCAAAAGUGAAAGACGGUCUUGCUGUCACUUAUAGAUGGAUCCGCGCUGCAUUAGCUAGUUGGUAAGGUAACGGCUUACCAAGGCAACGAUGCAUAGCCGACCUGAGAGGGUGAUCGGCCACACUGGAACUGAGACACGGUCCAGACUCCUACGGGAGGCAGCAGUAGGGAAUCUUCCGCAAUGGGCGAAAGCCUGACGGAGCAACGCCGCGUGAGUGAUGAAGGUCUUCGGAUCGUAAAACUCUGUUAUUAGGGAAGAACAUAUGUGUAAGUAACUGUGCACAUCUUGACGGUACCUAAUCAGAAAGCCACGGCUAACCACGUGCCAGCAGCCGCGGUAAUACGUAGGUGGCAAGCGUUAUCCGGAAUUAUUGGGCGUAAAGCGCGCGUAGGCGGUUUUUUAAGUCUGAUGUGAAAGCCCACGGCUCAACCGUGGAGGGUCAUUGGAAACUGGAAAACUUGAGUGCAGAAGAGGAAAGUGGAAUUCCAUGUGUAGCGGUGAAAUGCGCAGAGAUAUGGAGGAACACCAGUGGCGAAGGCGACUUUCUGGUCUGUAACUGACGCUGAUGUGCGAAAGCGUGGGGAUCAAACAGGAUUAGAUACCCUGGUAGUCCACGCCGUAAACGAUGAGUGCUAAGUGUUAGGGGGUUUCCGCCCCUUAGUGCUGCAGCUAACGCAUUAAGCACUCCGCCUGGGGAGUACGACCGCAAGGUUGAAACUCAAAGGAAUUGACGGGGACCCGCACAAGCGGUGGAGCAUGUGGUUUAAUUCGAAGCAACGCGAAGAACCUUACCAAAUCUUGACAUCCUUUGACAACUCUAGAGAUAGAGCCUUCCCCUUCGGGGGACAAAGUGACAGGUGGUGCAUGGUUGUCGUCAGCUCGUGUCGUGAGAUGUUGGGUUAAGUCCCGCAACGAGCGCAACCCUUAAGCUUAGUUGCCAUCAUUAAGUUGGGCACUCUAAGUUGACUGCCGGUGACAAACCGGAGGAAGGUGGGGAUGACGUCAAAUCAUCAUGCCCCUUAUGAUUUGGGCUACACACGUGCUACAAUGGACAAUACAAAGGGCAGCGAAACCGCGAGGUCAAGCAAAUCCCAUAAAGUUGUUCUCAGUUCGGAUUGUAGUCUGCAACUCGACUACAUGAAGCUGGAAUCGCUAGUAAUCGUAGAUCAGCAUGCUACGGUGAAUACGUUCCCGGGUCU
rnacentral:rRNA from 1 species